rnacentral:lncRNA from 1 species
CAAUAGCAUCUCAUAGUUGAGACCUUUCUCUACAGAUUAAAAAUCUUUACACCCACACACAGACAUGCACACACACAUACCCAAACACCCCACACAUGCAUACUUAUACACACAUAUGUAUAUUUAUUUAUGUGUGUGAUUAUUUUUGUAUGUAUAUACAUGUGUGUAUAUAUAUAUAAAUGUGUAUGUAUGUAUGUGUAUAUAUAUAUAAUUUAUAUACACACAUGGAUGUAAAUAUACAAUUAAACACACACAUAAAUAAAUAUACAUACAUAUAUACAUAUAUAUAUGUAUGUAUAUUUAUUUAUAUGUGUUCAUUUAUUUAUUUAUUGAUUUAUGUGUGUUUAUUUGUAUAUGUACAUGCUUGUGUGUAUAUAUGUGUAUAUAUAUAUAUAUAUAUAUAUAUGCAUGUGUGUGUAUAUAUAAUUUUAUGCAUAUAUAUUUAUGUAUAUAUGUAUGCAUGUACAUUUAUUUGUGUCUGUAUUUGCAUAUGUACAUGCUUGUGUGUAUAUAUGUGUAUAUGUAUAUAUAUAUGUAUGCGUGUGUGUGUAUAUACAAUUUUAUACAUACAUGUAUAUAUAUAUACAUACAUAUAUAUAUAUAUAUAUAUAUGUAUGUAUGUAUGUAUGUAUGUAUGUAUGUAUGUAUGUAUGUAUGUAUGUAUGUAUGUAUGUAUGUAUGUAUGUAUGUAUGUGCGUAUAUGUGUUGUGUUUGUGUUGUAUGUAUUAAAUAAUGUAAAUGCAUACGUCACGCUUGAUGAAAAUGUUUUCAGUCUUUUGUAGACCUUAUAUAAUGGAGAUUAUGUUAGAAAUCGUUUUAGCUGGUUGCUUCGAUGAAGCGCCGAACUAAAUUUUACAUUGAAUUCCUCCUCCUUUAUUUUGUUCUUCCAUAUGCAAUUUCAAAUCUUGUUAGUUAGGAAUCCCUAUUUUCUUUUAUACGCUCAGUGCCCCUUUAUUCGUAUACAUGUCACUCGACUAUAUCUACACCAGAGUAAAGUUUGGCCUUAUAGCCGACAAAAUUUGAUCCCGAAUAAUAACGAUAUAGCGUCUAUUAUUGUUAUUAUUGAGGUCAUCUGAGUCUUUCAUCUUACCGGGGUCAAUGAAUUAAGGGCUGUUUCCUCCCCCAAUUUUUUGAGGCGGAGGUGAACUAGCAACAUCGUUAGAGCAUUUAUAUUUCUGCAGAAUCAUUACAUUCUGUGAACUUUUCCUUUCAUCUUUUCGCGGUCGAUAUAAUAAAGUCCCCAUUCAACUGCUAGGGGUCGAUACUACUGACUAAUCCGCUUAACUUCAUUCGUAACUGCUGGUCUUGUACCUAAAUUUGAAAAUAGGAUUAUUAUUGUUACUAACAACAACAACAAGGUUUUCAUCAUCAUCACCAUCAUCAUCAUCAUAAUAAAAAUAGUAAUAAUAAUAAUAAUGAUAAUUAUAACCACCAGCAUUUCCGUCGUCAUCAUCAUCAUCGUCAUUGUCAUCAUCACCAUCAUCAUCAUCAUCAUCAUCAUCAUCAUCAUCAUCAUCAUCAUAGUCGUCGUCAUCAUCAUCAUCAUCAUUCUGUAACGGUGUUUGAUUCUUGAUUUAAAAUUUAAUUAAGAGCCCAAACUAAUGUGAAUCCAGUCAAAUUGACUGAAAAACACGAAGAAGGAAAUAUUUAAAACGUUUAUUUCAUUCUUCUUUUUUUUUUGUUCUCGCACUCCUUCGUGUUAAUAUUGUAAAAACAAAUUAAAUUUCAUUUUUCAAUAUAACCAUAAAGCAAAAAAAAGUAUUUAAUCCUAUUAUAACUGGCUUUAGUUUUAAUUUUUAAUAUUAAUUCCACUAAUUAAUGACAUAAAGCAUGACUAAUUAACGGUUGUUAGUUUUAAAAAUUAUCACUGGAAAACCAGAUCUCUACAAGUUGUUUCGUCGUAAAUUGUGCUUGGAGAAAGAAUAUUCUAGGUAUAUGAGAACAGGCAUUACAGACAUCCGUAGCAUUGAACGUAUUUUUCAGUGUGUAUGUGUGUGUGUGUGUGUGUGUGUGUGUGUGUGUGUGUGUGUGUGUGUGUGUGUGCUGUUAGAGUUAUUGGAAUAUAAACAGCUAGAUUUUCAAUUUCAAUGCAAAACUCGUUUUUCCAUCAAUCAUAAAUUUCAAGUGAUGAGUCUGGUUUUUACAUACAGGGUUAAAUAUAUUAUAACACACACACACACAAACACACACACAUACGUAUAUAUAUUUAUAUGUGUGUGUAUGUAUUUAUAUAUACAUACACAAUCAGUAUUGUGCAUAUAUAAACACACACACACACACACAUAUAUAUAUAUAUAUAUAUAUAUAUAUAUAUAUAUAUAUAUAUAUAUAUGUAUGUAUAUAUAUAUAUACAUACACACACUCACAUACAUAUCUAUAUAUAAAUAGGCAUAUACUUGAAUAUAUAUAUAUACAUAAAUAUACAUAGAUAUACAUACACAGAUAUCAUACAGACACACUGUAUGAGUGAGAAUUUAUGUAACAACGUGUGAAUAUACGC